GGGUCGUUAGCUCAGUCGGUAGAGCAGUUGACUUUUAAUCAAUUGGUCGCAGGUUCGAAUCCUGCACGACCC
rnacentral:tRNA from 3 species